CGAACUUUAUACUCUUCCAACCAAUUGACGUAGUCGGUGGGGCUGUAGUGUUUCAUAAGGGAAGGCCACCUACGAGGAGAGAAACACCCCCUCAGCUUAACAGAAACUCAAAGGCAGGCGGCCACGAAUCCAAGGCAGCCUUGGAAACAGGGACAGCAGUGGCGUCCAGUGGUAAGAGGGACCCCGGCGAGAGACCUAGUUC
rnacentral:lncRNA from 1 species